UGCAUACCUUUGUGACACUGUUGUGAUCUACAUCUUGUGGAGAUGACAAUUGGUAGUCUAAGAGUAUGUUUGCUACUUCUGCAGCUGCCUGUAGUGGUUCAGUGCCUGUCAGUUUAGUUCUCAAUAAAGCCAAGGGAAAAAAACAAAGAGAAGCUCCAAGACUCACACUUUCAAACCUAGUGUCUGCUCUGAAAAGUGUUGAAAACAGAUGGAAUGAUUUGGGUGCUGAUCUGCGAUUCCCUGAAGCAGUAUUGCAAAGUAUCGAGAAGCAGAAUUGCUCCUCACUAGAGAGAUUAACAGCUGUUCUCAAGCAUUUUCUCCAACUACAUCCAUUUGCUUCUUGGCGAAGGAUCAUUCGAGCUCUUGAAAGGCUGGAAGAGAAUGGGAUAGUUAAGCACAUUAAAACUUAUUCUGAGCACAUUUUAGACCCAAGUCUUACUGUUGAGAAUGUUGCUAGAGUGAUUGCAGCUACCACUGAUGAUUGGGCAGAUGAUGUAUAUACUUAUCAUCUGGCAGGAGAGCUUAUGGUGCCAAUCACUAUACAAGAUAGAAUUAAGAAACAGUACUCCUCUGUUAAAGAUCAACAAACUUCUCUAGCCAAGUACUGGGUGAGAAUGCUUUUCAAUGCUUCAUGGUCUACUCUAGCUGGAGCAUUGCAUUUCCUGAAGGAAAAGGAAGCUCUUGCCAUUUGUGUGAAGGAUUACCUUGACAUUGAGAAUGAUGAAACCCUAACAAUGGAAAAUUUACUAGCCGCGUUUGAGGGUGUGACAAAAUGGGAUGAAAUUGGAUAUCGGCUAAGGGUACCUACAACCCAACAGAAUGAGAUUAGAUCAUCUUUUCAAACAGACGAUGAGAAAAAAGAAGCUAUUUUAAAUCAUUUUCUUCAACACAACCCAUCUCCCACCUGGAGAGAAGCUGCAUUAGCUUUGUAUAGAAUGAGGCACCAUGAUUUAGUCAAGACCCUAUACGAGAAGAAAUAUCUUAUUGCACCGGAGGAUCAAAGGCUACUGGACAUAUUCAAUUAUACAGUGAAGCAAAGAGGAUACUUAAAUCAGACUAUAAUGCAAGCAACGAUACAAGGAAAUGCCCGGUCUGGAAAGACGUCGUUAAUCAAGGUUCUACAGGGGAAACAUGCUUGCCCUGUUGAACCAAGUACUGCUGUAAUGGAAGAAUCAGCGCGUAUAGAGCUAAGCCAGUCUACUGUGCUUGUUGAAGGUAUUCUCUGGACUCCAAUCGAAGAUUUGCAUGAAGAAGCUAAUCUUGUUGUGCGUGAGGUGAUGACUGCUGAGCAGCUUCAAUCGAAUAAUGCCAAUGAAGAUGACGAAGACAAUAUUAUCAUUGCAGACACUAUUGGAGAAUCAGUUUAUCCUGGAGCAGUAACUUCUAUGGUUGACUCAGAAUUACCCACUAGGAAUACAACCAGCACUAUCAAAACCUUCAACAGUAGUCUCUUCACUGAAACAUUUGAGCAAGGUCAAGAUAAUUCUUCAAUAUUGAAUUUAUUCAAACUUUCCAUUAAGAAAGCAAAACUCGAAAUGACAAUGAUUAAGGACCCAUGGACUCUAUACAUUUCAGAUAUAGGUGGCCAGCUUGAAUUCCAAGAACUGGUGCCAGCACUAACAAAUGGCCCUAGCCUUCAUAUUAUAGUCAUUGCUGCUCACUGGGGUCUCAACAAUAAGUGUCCAAUUGAGUACUUACACAAAAAUGGACAGUCUGCCGUAUCAUAUAAAGCAAACUAUACGGUAAAAGAAAAUGUUCUGUUAACUCUGGCAACGAUAAUGUCUACAGGACAACAUAAGCAACUUCCUAAAGCAAUGUUUGUCAUUACGUUUAAAGAUUUGGUUACUGUAGAGGAACUACUUGUAAUGGAUGAAGAGCUACAAAGAACUGUGAAAUGCACUGAAGCAUACCGCUCUGGAGUGAUUGAGUUUGCCACAGAAUCACACUUGUGUCAUACCAUUAAUAAUUUAAUUCCAGAUACAGAUGACAUUGCAUGUAUCCGUAAAACUGUGGAAAGAAUAGGAAUGCGAAAUGAUGAUUACCAAGUUCGAACUCCCUACACUUGGCUUUGCUUUAGUCUUGCUCUACGCCGUAUAAAGAAUAGAGUGCUGCACUAUUCAACUUGUGUGGAAGCUGGAAAACAAUGUGGGAUUGAAUCGAUUGAAGAAUUGAAUGCUGCACUGAGAUUCCUGCAUUACAACAUUGGUGUAAUUCGGUACUUUAGUGAUGUUCCUGAAUUAUCAGACAUUGUUAUAAAAGAUCCCCAGAUGUUGUUUGACUGUGUUACAGAAUUGGUUCUCAAUACUUUCACUUUUGAUCGUGUUAAUUAUUCUACUAAAGAAGAUUUCGAGAAGAAAGGAUUGUUUCCAGUUGAAAUGGUUAGCAAAGUGUCUACCAAUUCAGAGCUUUUUACAAACCAAAAAUUGAUCGCUUUUCUGAUGUACCAUCACAUAAUUGCACCAUUGGAGGAAGAUGGUGAAACCGUAAAAUAUUUUUUGCCUUGCUCUCUUGUUCAUGCUGAAAUUUUUGAAAAUGAUGCUUCCUUUAAUGUACUCCCUCCAAUGGUGAUCAUUUUUGAUACUGGGUACACUCCACGCGGCAUUUUUGGAUUUUUAGUGAGUGAUAUUCUAACUGACAAGGGUCAUGAGAUACAAAUCGUGUUGGAUGUAGAUUGUAUUUAUCGUGACCAGCUAACAGUGUCUGUAGGUCCUUACGUAGACAAAUUUUACUUCUCCCUCCAUGCAACGUAUAUAAAGAUUGAUGUGCAGCCUUCGAAAAUCGAACGAAAAUUUCCCUUUGGAGAAAUUUGCUGCUAUGUUCGGAAUCGUGUGGUUGAAGCAUUGACUGACAUUGUUAGCAAGUUGAAUUACAAUUGUAAAGCCACUCACUCUUUAGCAUUCCUCUGUCCUGACAAAUGCCAUGGAGAACAAGUUCAUGCAGCAACCAUAUUGUUUUAUCGGGGGGAGAUGCAGGCUUUAAAGUGUAUCAUUAGCAAGAAUGCAAAGGCACUCCCAAAAGGUCAUGAAGUGUGGUUCAAUGAGGAUGUGUGUAUUUCUACGAGUAGAAAAAGACCAGCUUCAGAAGUUGCUUUACCAUGCUCCAAACGUGUUGAAUAUGACUACUCGGAAUUACAUUUAUCUUCAACCAAGUACUGGGACGGCCACAAAAGUACCUCAGAUUGUCUGACAGUUAGUCAGCUGCCUUUAUUACGGGUCUGCAUUUGGAGAGCCAGAGUGGAGUGGGAAAACAUAGGUACUGCUCUACACAUCGAUUCAUCUAUAUUGAAAGCAAUUGGAUUGAGGAACCAUUACAAACCUGAGGAAUGCUUCACUGAGGUCCUCUACUACUGGCUAUGUCAGGAGCCUCCACCUACCUUGAACGUCCUUAAGAAGUGUAUGAUGUCACUUUCUCUGAGAGAAAGUUGUCCUCGACUGGAUGAAGAUUUGGAGAGAAAUUUUAAUCAGUUUGAGCUUUCAUGCCCAGACACUUCUGCGAUGGAUGAAACGUUUCAACUUGCACCUAGCCAUCUGAAAAUCAUCGUCAAUACUGUUUGGAGGGCCAGAGUAAAAUGGUUUGACAUCGGCAUUUUUUUGCUGAAUGAUGUACCCGCCUUGGAAUGUAUCCGGACUAAGUGCCAUCAUGACCCAGACGAAUGUUUAAGAGAAAUGUUCAGCUGCUGGUUGCGUGGGGGUUGUGCAAAUCUUCGAGACCUCAAGAAUAGUGUGCAAUCACUGCCUGUGCGGGAGAAUUAUCCUGGUCUCGGAAGAGAUUUGGAAAAUGCUCUGCUGAAACAGCUAGAUCCUAGUGUUCCUCAGAAAACCAUCAGUAUGAGUCAAAUUUAUGUCAAUGAGCCUCCGACUAAUGGAAAGGACAUACGAACUCUAAUUUGACCUGUAUAUACUGGGGGAUUUGACCUGGCUUUGCGUAUAAUUAUACCUCUCCACCUCUUCUUGAGCGAAAGCAAAACAAGGGCAAGAGGCAUUAGCACAGCGCAGCUUGUACCACUCGUUGUUAAUUGUUUUAAUUUCCAUAAAUAAUUAUUAUUUGCUUUUUCGAUUUCAAUUUUUGUACCAAAUUUGAGCAGUGGUCUUUGUAGGAGCUAAAGAUUAAGAGCAGCCACGAUGUACUCACAAAGGACUCCAAACUCAGCGCUCAACCGGCUGUCAACCAAUCAGAAUUAAGGUGGUGAGGAGAAGUCUUCACGAAGGAGGCUGAAGCCCAAGAGGAAGUCGCACAAGCACAGCUCUGACAGGAAGCAUGAGAAACACCAGCACAAAUCGUCCAACAAGAAGAAGAAGAAACACUCCUCACAUACAUAAUCAUUGACUUUACCGCUGUUCGUAUAGUACAGUCACAUACCUUGGUAUAAUUUUAAAUUACUCAAUCUGUGAUUAUAAGUUUAUAAUAAUUAUACCCACUCCAAUCCUAUAUCCACUGAACUGUCUGAUCAUGGAAUUGGCAUGACUCUGAGUCAAUAAUAUACAAUACAAGUAUAAUUAUAGUUUUAAGGGUACAUCGUAAUAUAUCCCAUGAUCUCCCAUGCCCCGACUUAAUAAUUCACACUCUUUUAUUCUUGACAAUUUUAUUUACUUGUGUCGCAUAUAUUAUUCAAUC